UAGUAAUGGCAGGUCAGCAUACUGCCGUGAAUACGUUCCCGGGCCUUGUACACACCGCCCGUCACACCAUGAGAGUUGGGGAUACCCAAAACCCGUGAGCCAACUGUAAAGAGGCAGCGGUCUAAGGUAGAAUCAAUGAUUGGGGUGAAGUCGUAACAAGGUACC
rnacentral:rRNA from 1 species